CCUUCUUCUCUUCCAAUUGCUUGGAGAUGGCAUCCAGAACAAGCUGUUCCAUCAACUUUCCAGGGAUAGAACUCAUAACUUUUAUUACUAAGAUCAACUUUCCUUCCUUCUCACCACAAUUUUAAGAAACUGAUUUUUAUGAUGUGCACAUUAGCAAGAAUUUAAUGUAAAGAGCAGACAAUCUAUGGUCUCAGUUCAACAGAGGAAGUACUUCCAGAGCUUCAAUUACAUUAGAAUUCCCCUUGACUUGUAAACGGACUAUCAGAGACAAUGGAAGAAGGAAAUCAGUAGCAGGUCUGGAAACUUAAUCCAGUUUCCAUACAUCAUGCUGUUGACAAGACUAUAAAUGCUUAAAGGAUGCCUUAAUUUGGCAUCAACUCUAAAGUCACACCCACAACUUUCUUUGUACUCUGCAGAAUGGACUCCUUCAAGAUAUCCCAUAUUUGGAACAUAACGUGGAAAGUAGAGCCAAUUGCCAGAGUUUGAGGUCGUACAUCUCCAGGUCAUGAAUCAGUAUCUUGGUCUUCUCCAGCUGCUGAUGAUUACAACCAUGAUGUUUAUAAUCCUUGUACUUGGUGAUAAAACUGCUAAUCCAAUGCAGUCUAGUUCGGUAUAGUACAGUUCAAUCAGUGCUCCUGAAUGAGUACGAGCAUUCAGGAUAGCUUUCAUGAUAACAGACCCUGGGCUUUGUGUGAAAGCAUUUUACCCACAAAUUAUUUUACCCACAAAUUGGAUCUAUAGAUUCUUAUGCCCAUGAUUCCAGAAACUCUUAUAACCACAAGCAAAAUGAAUAGCAUACUGAUUUCACAAAAUAACAGCUCUCCAUGUGUUUACAUUGAUUCCAGUGAAAUCUGUCAUUUUUUAUUUUGUUUCCCCACCCUCCCCCUCCCCCCUUUCCCUAAGAGAUUGUUAGAAAACUGUUAGAAAACUAAAUAUUCAGGUCAUUCAUCACAAACUACUAAGUUACCAAAAAAAUGCUGGCUUUUUAAAAGCUUUGAACUAGGCCUGCUACUUGAUCCAUUUUAGCAGUUUUAUUGAACUAGUAACAUCAUUCUCCCUGGAUUAUGAUUCUGAGGGAGACUAUGAUUCAAAAUGUUUAAUAGAAGUUGAAUGAAAUCA